UCCCAGGGAGGAUGGGGUGAUUCAUCACACACUUAAGAAAAGACCAGCCUCAUUUCCGCCCCAGCUUGAGGGGAAAUGAGCACUCUGUUCUGUGGCAACAGGUCUGCGAGAGGGAGGGGCCCCACAGCCACAGCUCUGGCCCAGAUGAGCCCACCCGUACCAGAUGAGCUGAGGCUGGCUUGAACUAUGUCCUGCUGUCUCCUUGCCCUUCUCCUGGGCACUUUCUUAGGUGUCAGCGCUCAGACCAUCCACCAAUGGCCACCUGUCAAGGUGCAGCUUGUGGGCAGCCCGCUCUCCCUGGAGUGCGUCGUGAAGGGGGAAUCAAACCCUUAUCUAUAUUGGUACCGGCAGGCCGAGGGAGGGCCCCCCCAGCUGCUCUUCCGCUCCCUAAAUAUUGGCCAGGUAGACCCUGAGGCACCACGGAACUUCACAGCCUCCAGGCCCCAGGACGGCCAGUUCAUCUUGAGUUCUCAGAAGCUCCUCCUCAGUGACUCUGGCUUCUACCUCUGCGCCUGGAGUCUCACACUGAGCCGGCAUCAUUCGAUCUGCAGAGGGAAAUCUGAGACAGAGACGCGUAGUGUUGGAGACGGUAUUUAAAAUGCCCCGGGGGCUCCUAUCGCCCCUUCAGUAUCUACUUACGUAUUAAGCAGCUAUUAUGUGCUGGGCACUCUGAGCCAUCACAGGGAUCAAAAAAGAAAAAAAUGUAGUGCCCUCAAGACGGUGCUGGGCCUAGUCACAGCAUGGUUUUAAUAAAGGCUCUUGGUUUGCUUUUUUCCCCAUGUGUGAGAAUAUUAAUUGACGAAAGCAAUCAGUAAUGCCAUGACCACAAAAGGAAAGAUGCUUGUACGGCACAAGUUUGGUUCACAUUGAAGAGUAAACGAUGUUUCAAGCCAA